CUUGCUUUAAUCUACUGCACUUAAUAAACAUGAAAACAAAAUAAAAAGAGUGUGUAGAUAAGUAUGCUUUAUUUUCCUGCUAAGUUUAAUUUCUAGAAAAUAAUAAAAAGACCAAAAAUAUGCAUGAUGGAAAUGAUGAACAGUUGCUCUGUUUGCUUACUUACAAGUACCUAGCUUUUAUAUUAGAAUUCUUCCAGGAAUUACUAAAACUAAAAUUACUAUCUUUGGGAAAGCAUAAACUAAAGUCUAGGUAAGAGAAAGGCAUGAUAUAAAGUUGAGCUACUGUUUAUCUCGUUCCUACUACACUAAGUUCUGGAGAUUUAUUUUUGAAAACUUACAUAUCACAUGAUGAGUUCCUAGCAUAACAAACUACCUACCACAGCCAUACUUGCUAUAACAUCUUUACUAUAUUCACAUUGAGCUGUGUUGACCCUUAGGAGCUUUUCAUGUGGUUAAAUUAAGAUAUUCACUUGCACGCAUCUACCACAGCAUUCAUUAUCAAUCAUUAAAAUUGCUAAAAAUAUUAUCACUCACUGUCCCGAAUAUUGUUAUUCUCUCUCUCUAAAAGGAUUCAAUGCAGAAGAGGCAUGGGUUAUGCAAAAAAAUAUAUAUACGAGGAAAUAAAAAGGGGCAAGUGCCCGGAACCUCGAUAAAAGAAAAAGAGUGAGACGAGAGGUAAAAAUGGACAAGUGUCCGAAGUAGAAUUAGGGGUACAAAGAUGCCCACUUGAGAGGUAAAAAUGGUCAAGUGUCCGACAGUAGAAUUAGGGGUAUCUAUUACCCACCUGAAAAAAAAAGAAAAGAGAGAAAAGAUAGCCCAUGUUCUCCCAAGGCAAAGGUAAAAGAAAAGGAGAGAUAGCAACAUGAGGAGCAAUGAGAACUAAGAUUUAUUAACACUAUCACCAUCACUAUCAUUUACUCCACCACACAUGCACAUCUUGAUUUAAUUAUAUGCUGAGUUCCUUUGGAUCCAUGGCUCGAUUAGACAACAUAUGUAUGAGCUGUUUGCACUCCUAUGAGCUCCACUUAAUUAUUCCAUUAGCUAUAGGUAAGUGACAUUAUGGUAAGGAUCCACAAAUACCACAUAUAGAGAGACUUGAGAGAAUC
rnacentral:lncRNA from 1 species